rfam:Astyanax mexicanus chromosome 15, whole genome shotgun sequence.
CUGACCGAUUUCUUUUGGUGUUCAGAGUCUUUUGGGGUUUCUAGCACCAUUUGAAAUCGGUUAC